rnacentral:rRNA from 1 species
CAGUAGCCGCGGUAAUACGUAGGGUGCAAGCGUUAAUCGGAAUUACUGGGCGUAAAGCGUGCGCAGGCGGUUAUAUAAGACAGAUGUGAAAUCCCCGGGCUCAACCUGGGAACUGCAUUUGUGACUGUAUAGCUAGAGUACGGCAGAGGGGGAUGGAAUUCCGCGUGUAGCAGUGAAAUGCGUAGAUAUGCGGAGGAACACCGAUGGCGAAGGCAAUCCCCUGGGCCUGUACUGACGCUCAUGCCCGAAAGCGUGGGGAGCAAACAGGAUUAGAUACCCCUGUAGUCCCUGUCUCUUAUAC